rnacentral:rRNA from 1 species
UACGUAGGGUGCAAGCGUUGUCCGGAAUUAUUGGGCGUAAAGAGCUCGUAGGCGGUUUGUCGCGUCUGCUGUGAAAACCCGAGGCUCAACCUCGGGCCUGCAGUGGGUACGGGCAGACUAGAGUGCGGUAGGGGAGAUUGGAAUUCCUGGUGUAGCGGUGGAAUGCGCAGAUAUCAGGAGGAACACCGAUGGCGAAGGCAGAUCUCUGGGCCGUUACUGGCGCUGAGGAGCGAAAGCGUGGGGAGCGAACAGG